rnacentral:tRNA from 1 species
GCCGUCGUAGCUCAGCUGGUCAGAGCAGCCGCCUGUCGAGCGGCAGGUCGCGGGUUCGACUCCCGUCGACGGCGCCA